AUUGAUAAGGUUCAGUACAUCAAUUCUAUAAAAAAUCUUCCAUCUAAAGAAUCAAAAAUGGCCCACAUACUACUGUUUAGUGGGAACAUACAGGAGGCUGAAAUAGUACUUCUUCAGGCUGGCCUUGUUUAUCAAGCAAUCCAGAUCAAUAUUAAUCUCUACAACUGGGAAAGAUAUUAAAUCGUCUUUCCUCUUACAGAUUAUAUACUUCCUGAAGAGCGGAAACAUUUCACAUUAUCUAUACAUAGGCACUGGAAUUGGCUGUAAAAUACAAAACACAUGUUGAUACAGUUCUUGCUUACCGUCAAAAGUUUUUGGAGACAUUUGGUAAACAGGAAACUAAUAAACGAUACUUGCAUUAUGCAGAAGGUCUCCAAAUAGAUUGGGAGAAAAUCAAAGCCAAAAUUGAGAUGGAAAUUACAAAAGAAAGAGAGCAAUCAUCAAGCAGCCAAUCCAGCAAGAGUAUAGGUUUAAAGCCCUAAAUGCCAUGCGUAUCUUUAAGAAAUUUUAUCUUUUGAAACACGUUCUGAUUAACCAAGGGUAAGCAUGUUUUGGUUGCUAAAGAAAAAAGCAUAAUCUUUAACCGAG
rnacentral:lncRNA from 1 species